rnacentral:RNase_P_RNA from 1 species
GGAGUCGGCCGGAUGGCCGCGGUCCCGCCGGGGCGACCCGGGGGGGCUGAGGAAGGUCGGGGCUCCACAGGGCAGGGUGCUGGCGAGACGCCAGUCGGGGUGACCCGCAGGACAGUGCCACAGAGAACAGACCGCCGAUGGCCGGCUCCGCCGGCACAGGCAAGGGUGAAACGGUGCGGUAAGAGCGCACCAGCACCCCGGGUGACCGGGGUGGCUCGGUAAACCCCACCCGGAGCAAGGUCGAGCAGGGAGUGGGUGGCCCGCCCGAUACUCCCAGGUGGACCGCACAGAUGGAUGGCCAUCCAGGGGGCAG